UAGGGAAUCUUCGGCAAUGGACGAAAGUCUGACCGAGCAACGCCGCGUGAGUGAAGAAGGUUUUCGGAUCGUAAAACUCUGUUGGUAGAGAAGAACGUUGGUGAGAGUGGAAAGCUCAUCAAGUGACGGUAACUACCCAGAAAGGGACGGCUAACUACGUGCCCAG
rnacentral:rRNA from 1 species